GUAGGUGGCAAGCGUUGUCCGGAAUUAUUGGGCGUAAAGCGCGCGCAGGUGGUUCUUUAAGUCUGAUGUGAAAGCCCCCGGCUCAACCGGGGAGGGUCAUUGGAAACUGGGGAACUUGAGUGCAGGAGAGGAAAGUGGAAUUCCACGUGUAGCGGUGAAAUGCGUAGAUAUGUGGAGGAACACCAGUGGCGAAGGCGACUUUCUGGCCUGUAACUGACACUGAGGCGCGAAAGCGUGGGGAGCAAACAGGGAUUAGAUACCCUGGUAGUCCACGCCGUAAACGAUGAGUGCUAAGUGUUGGGGGGGUUUCCCGCCCCUCAGUGCUGUAGCUAACGCAUUAAGCACUCCGCCUGGGGAGUACGGUCGCAAGACUG
rnacentral:rRNA from 1 species